rnacentral:rRNA from 1 species
GAUGAACGCUGGCGGCGUGCCUAAUACAUGCAAGUCGAGCGAACAGACGAGGAGCUUGCUCCUCUGACGUUAGCGGCGGACGGGUGAGUAACACGUGGAUAACCUACCUAUAAGACUGGGAUAACUUCGGGAAACCGGAGCUAAUACCGGAUAAUAUAUUGAACCGCAUGGUUCAAUAGUGAAAGACGGUUUUGCUGUCACUUAUAUAUGGAUCCGCGCCGCAUUAGCUAGUUGGUAAGGUAACGGCUUACCAAGGCAACGAUGCGUAGCCGACCUGAGAGGGUGAUCGGCCACACUGGAACUGAGACACGGUCCAGACUCCUACGGGAGGCAGCAGUAGGGAAUCUUCCGCAAUGGGCGAAAGCCUGACGGAGCAACGCCGCGUGAGUGAUGAAGGUCUUCGGAUCGUAAAACUCUGUUAUUAGGGAAGAACAAAUGUGUAAGUAAAUAUGCACGUCUUGACGGUACCUAAUCAGAAAGCCACGGCUAACUACGUG